UAGGGAAUCUUCCGCAAUGGGCGAAAGCCUGACGGAGCAACGCCGCGUGAGUGAUGAAGGUCUUCGGAUCGUAAAACUCUGUUAUUAGGGAAGAACAAAUGUGUAAGUAACUAUGCACGUCUUGACGGUACCUAAUCAGAAAGCCACGGCCAACUACGUGCCAGCAGCCGCGGUAAUACGUAGGUGGCAAGCGUUAUCCGGAAUUAUUGGGCGUAACGCGCGCGUAGGCGGUUUUUUAAGUCUGAUGUGAAAGCCCACGGCUCAACCGUGGAGGGUCAUUGGAAACUGGGAAACUUGAGUGCAGAGGAGGAAAGUGGAAUUCCAGGUGGAGCGGUGAAAUGCGCGGAGCUAUGGAGGAACACCAGUGGCGAAGGCGACUUUCUGGUCUGUAACUGACGCUGAUGUGCGAAAGCGUGGGGAUCAAACAGG
rnacentral:rRNA from 1 species